rnacentral:rRNA from 1 species
UACGGAGGGUGCGAGCGUUAAUCGGAAUAACUGGGCGUAAAGGGCGCGCGGGCGGGCUUUUAAGUGAGAUGUAAAAUCCCCGGGCUUAACCUGGGAAUAGCAUUUCAGACUGGGAGUCUAGAGUACUUUAGGGAGGGGUAGAAUUCCACGUGUAGCGGUGAAGUGCGUAGAGAUGUGGGGGAAUACCGAAGGCGAAGGCAGCCCCUUGGGAAUGUACUGACGCUCAUGUGCGAAAGCGUGGGGAGCAAACAGG